rnacentral:rRNA from 1 species
AAUCAACGCUGGCGGCGUGCCUAACACAUGCAAGUCGAACGCGAGAGGGGCUUCGGCCCCGAUUGAGUGGCGAACGGGUGAGUAACGCGUGGGUGACCUACCUUCGAGUGGGGAGUAACGUCCCGAAGGGGCGCUAAUACCGCAUAACAUCCUGCUUUUGUAAUGGGUGGAGAUCAAAGACCGGGGAUCGCAAGACCUGGCGCUUGAUGAGGGGCCCGCGUCUGAUUAGCUAGUUGGNGAGGUAACGGCCCACCAAGGCAACGAUCAGUAUCCGGCCUGAGA